ACAAUCUGAAAGAAAAUUGAAAAGAAAGGGGAAAAAAAGCUGUUGCGUGGUGGCUCUGCUGCUCCAGUUGCAGGAAAAUUGCACAAAGUUGCUAGAAAACGGUGCCCAAAUCACCCAAAACUUGUGCAAUAAGCUAGCCGUUUAGACGUUACAGAUCAGAAACCCUCGACAGGCUAAGAAUGGCACGCUACCGCGAGUGGGACCUGGCCUGCAAGGUGUACGUCGGCAACCUGGGCUCGUCCGCGUCCAAGCACGAGAUCGAGAGUGCCUUCGGCAAGUACGGCCCGCUGCGCAACGUCUGGGUCGCCCGGAACCCGCCCGGUUUCGCGUUCGUCGAGUUCGAGGACAAACGGGACGCCGAGGACGCGUGCCGCUCGCUGGACGGACAGCGAUGCUGCGGAACGCGCAUCCGGGUUGAAAUGUCCUCGGGAAGGACCCGGCGGGAUGACCGCAGCCGGCGGCCACGGCGCUCGUACAGGGCAAGCUCUUCUAUGAUACUCUGCGUCAGCAACUUCCGCCACAGAUCUUCAUAUAACCAACCUUCUACUAGUAGCUCUACUACUAUUAAGCAUAGCGCGUCCAUCAAAUCCACCAACAAACCACACAUCUACUCAGUCCUCCAUCUUCCAAAAAAAAAUCUACUACUACUGCCAACAUAAUUUGCGAAACGCGCGCACAACAAAAUAAAACUUGAGUGCCAAGAAACCGCGCACGAGCGAAGAUUUACGCCGCGGCAACACGUGCGUCAUCAGCUCCUCGUCAGCACUGCGCAUCGAAAUUCGACGAGUUCGCCGAAGAUGCCAUCAACUACUGCUGUCUGCUGCUGCUGCUGCCGCUGAAAACAAGCCCCAUCACACGACCACCCUACGGGAGACACUCGCAUCUCGGUUACGUUGGUUACGACCUUCGAGGCUUGCUCUCAACUGCAGCAACAACAACAACAACAACGCCACCAUCGCUCAACUUGUGUGCAACUUGAUCCUUCGACACCAUCGGCGAUCUUCUGUUUCUUCUCCCGAACAACCACCACCACCACCAACCACCAAAUCAUCAACCACCACCUCUACUUACAACUCUACCUGCCCGAAUCGACCGUCGUCGUCUUGUUCUUCUCUUCUGCAACCUCAACGAAAAAAAAAAAAAACGCUGUUAGCUCACGCCCACCACGCCCGUUUGCUGCGCUAUUGUUGAUGUUGUUGCCGCUUCUAGAAAAAAUGAAACCCAAAUGUGUGUGUGUGUGUGCGUAGUAGUGCCGCAAUGCUAAUCAACCGAUCAACAACAAUCAGCAAUUUAGUGCGUGCGCAUCAACUACUCGACUCAACUCGGCUCGUCUCGUCUGCCCUUCUUCAGUCACCACAACUACCACCAACCACCACCACCACACCACCAUCCUAGCUUUUUUAGAGUGUUUAAAAAAAACACACACAAACAGAACCCUUGGAAAAGAUCCCCUCCCGACUGAAACAAACAGCACACGUCAACUCGAUACUGUUACUCUCUCCAAACUUAAUCCUAACAGCUCUGUGGUUGCGGUGUCAAUCCAAAAUUUUGGCGUGACAUUUUAGGUACUUGAAUCUUACGUCCCAAGUCGAGAUGGCGACUACAACGCAACAGUUUUCUGAAAGUGAAAGUGGUGCUGAAAGUAAAAUUGUGGUCUGGUUCUCUUGAAGAUUUUCCUUUUCUUUUGCUGUGAACAAAAAUAUGAAUGAAAUCGCC
rnacentral:misc_RNA from 1 species